GAUCUAAAAAAACAUGUCUAUCGCCGCUAAUCUCUUCCUUUCCAAGCCGCCAGGAACUAUAGGCCUGCUGCAAUCGGAUCUGUCCAUCGCGCUCGCGCUGUCGCGCCGCCAUCUAGAAGCGGAGAAGGGAAGGGGACGCCAGGACAGACAUGCGUCGAUCAACGGACCACAGACAGGUUGCCGGCAGGCCGGACACAUGGAUGUGCGGCAACAACAUGAAGGGAAAAGAUGUGAAGAGGAAGAGAGGAGAAUCAAUUCAUAUUUUUUUAAACCCAGUUGAUUCAAGCUCUCAACUGGCGGAAUAUGAUGCGACUGCAAACAAUGUGCAACACUUCAAUUGAUGCCAUGGUGUGGUUACUGUCCAAAUCAACUCCUUUCAGAGGAAAGAUGAAUAUGGGGAUUCCAAGAACCAAGAUAAUAGCCGGAACAUAAUUUAGUUCCUAUGCAAACUCCUAAUCAAACAAUU